rnacentral:rRNA from 1 species
GACGAACGCUGGCGGCGUGCUUAACACAUGCAAGUCGAACGAUGAAGGAGAGCUUGCUCUCCGGAUUAGUGGCGAACGGGUGAGUAACACGUGACUAACCUGCCCCUUUCUCUGGGAUAACGCUCCGAAAGGCACGCUAAUACCGGAUACGAACUCUGAACACAUGUUCGGAGUUGGAAAGUUUAUCGGAAAGGGAUGGAGUCGCGGCCUAUCAGCUUGUUGGUGAGGUAACGGCUCACCAAGGCGACGACGGGUAGCCGGCCUGAGAGGGCGACCGGCCACACUGGGACUGAGACACGGCCCAGACUCCUACGGGAGGCAGCAGUGGGGAAUAUUGCACAAUGGGCGAAAGCCUGAUGCAGCGACGCCGCGUGAGGGAUGAAGGUCUUCGGAUUGUAAACCUCUUUCAGUAGGGACGAAGCGAAAGUGACGGUACCUAAAGAAGAAGCACCGGCUAACUACGUGCCAGCCGCCGCCGUAA